CAUCUCGAGUAGGGAGCGGGAUCAGAGCUGGGAGGUGGCACUAGGGAAAGAGAGGGCUGUGUGUUGAAGCGGAGUGGUCAGGAGCCCCUAAAAGGGAGGCGGCGGGACUAGGCCCUCGGGUCUGGAAGGAGAAAGGCGAAUCGGCUUGUAGUGGCCCCAGCAAGGGGAGGAGGAGGAGGAGGAGGAGGAGGAGGAGGAGGAGUCGUCUCCCCAAGCCGCCAGGGGUCGCUGCCGAGCCGCAGCAAAUCCACUGGUCCUCACGUCUUGGCCAUUCAUCUCUGAAACUUACCCUGAAUCUGGCAGCAUCGGUCCCCCUCUGUCAUCAUCACCCUGCUCCAAGCCUCACGUGGCCAUGACCACAUCCUCUCCACUGGCCUCCCUGCCUCCAGUCCUGCCCUAGCCCUCCUCCACAAAAGCUCUCCAUCACUUGCAAAAUAAAGGCCAAAUCCCUAA